CGUGUAGGCGGAGAUGUAAGUCCGGUGUGAAAUCCCUCGGCUCAACCGGGGAACGCCAUCGGAUACUGCAUCUCUAGAGUGCGGGAAGGGAGAGUGGAACUCUUGGUGGAGCGGUGAAAUGCGUAGAUAUCAAGAGGAACGCCGGUGGCGAAAGCGACUCUCUUGUCCGUUACUGACGCUGAGGCGCGAAAGCUAGGGAGCAAACG
rnacentral:rRNA from 1 species